AGAGUUUGAUCAUGGCUCAGAACGAACGCUGGCGGCAGGCUUAACACAUGCAAGUCGAGCGCUCUCUUCGGAGGGAGCGGCGGACGGGUUAGUAACGCGUGGGAACGUGCCCUUCUCUAAGGAAUAGCCACUGGAAACGGUGAGUAAUACCUUAUACGCCCUUCGGGGGAAAGAUUUAUCGGAGAAGGAUCGGCCCGCGUUAGAUUAGAUAGUUGGUGGGGUAACGGCCUACCAAGUCUACGAUCUAUAGCUG
rnacentral:rRNA from 1 species